AAAAGGGGAAAAAUGGUAAAAAAGUAAGGCCAUAACCAAUACACCAUACCAUCGUGAAAGAUGACAUGUUGUACAUAACAGAAGGUUUGAAUGAUUGUCAUGAUCAACAUCUGUGCUUUUGGUUCGUGGCAUGAGAUUGCGACAGCUCGCCUGUAGACCUGUAAAGAUCAAGCCGAACCAGAGGCCGCGGAAGCAUUUCGAAAGUGGAGGGGCAUUGACCGAAAGGGGCACUUUUGUAUAUGACCAGAAUCAAACGAUUUUAUGACGUUCACGAG